rnacentral:rRNA from 1 species
AAAUUACAGACCAACGAUUUAACCAGACUAACUUUUACCCCCAGCCGCUGUAAUAAGUAUGUCACCACCUUAUCCGGAUUAAUAGGGCAAAAACAACGCCCACGCGAUCAUUUAUCUUUUAUUAAAAUACAGGGCUCAACUCAAUAUUGCGUGGGAAACUGAUAACUAGAGUCAACAAAAGGUAAGCGGAACUACAAGUGAACAGGUGAAAUUCGUAGAUAUUUGUAGGAACCCCGAUGGGGAGGGCAGCUUACUGGAGAGACACUGACGCUCAAGCGCGAAAGCGUGGGUACCAAACAGG